CCUACGGGUGGCUGCAGUGGGGAAUAUUGCACAAUGGGGGAAACCCUGAUGCAGCGACGCCGCGUGAGUGAAGAAGUAUUUCGGUGUGUAAAGCUCUAUCAGCAGGGAAGAAACAAGACGGUACCUGACUGAUAAGCCCCGUCUAACUACGUGCCAGCAGCCGCGGUAAUACGGAGGGGGCAAGCGUUAUCCGGCUUUACUGGGUGUAAAGGGAGCGUAGACGGUAUGGCAAGUGUGAAGUGAAAGCGCAGGUGUUAACCCUGGGACUGCUGUGGAAACUGUUAGACUAGAGUGCGGGAGAGGUAAGCGGAAUUCCUAGUGUAGCGGUGAAAUGCGUAGAUAUUAGGAGGAACACCAGUGGCGAAGGCGGCUUACUGGACAGUAACUGACGUUGAGGCUCGAAAGCGUGGGGAGCAAACAGGAUUAGAUACCCGAGUAGUC
rnacentral:rRNA from 1 species